CUCUUAUAUUUCCUACAUAUUCAUUUAACUUGUUUCAUUUCUAAGUCUUGAUAGGCUGCCUGGCUUUCUACUUAUUUCUGCUGAAAAGCCUGCCUUAAAAGACCAUCUUCCUUUCUGUGUUUUCAUAUCACUCUCCUUCCUUUCAUCUUCAAGAUCCCAACCAUGACCCUAGUCCUACAACCUGAACUCUGCCUUAUCAUAAAGCCCAUCCAAUUCAGUUUUCUUUUGUAGUCCCUGGAAUUAACCCUUGCAAGUCUUAUUACUGGUAUCCUCCUGGUAAACCCUGGCACCUGAGGUUACAGCUGAAAAAUAUUGCCUAGGGGAAAAAAGUCAUUCCUGAAAUUGUCAUAUAGCCAGAAGCUUUUGGUUUAGGGCAACACGGACAGACAGAAGAACUAUUUUCACCUUGGGCCAGCUAAUUCUAAUUCAAUUACCUCCCACUAGAUGUACAGGAAUAUUUGGUGUAACACCUGCCUUUGUUUUAUUUUUCAUGGAAAGCAGGCUGAUAUCUCCUCUUUCAGAGAGGGUUUUUUUUUUUUUUUUUUUUUUCCCUCUGCCUUUAUCAUCAUCUCUUUCACUCUUUUGUAGGAAGAAGAUGCCCUCCCACCACAGAACAGCAGUCUGGAGACAGGAGAAGAGGCUCUGCUGCAGGCCAACUUGUUCCAUUUCCUUUAUGUCUUUAUGUUGCACUCAAGAGAUGAACCGUCAUGAAGAUUUUGGGUCCAAAGAACGAAAAUGAAGCUGGUGAACAGUCUAGAGAAUAAGCCUUAUGAAGAGCUGCUGAGGGAGCUGUGAGGGAGCCCCUGAUUACCAAUGACCUAUGUAUUCCUGUCAGUGUGAUCAACAGUCACCUGAAAUCAACAACUCACGACUUAAUUAAACAGACUUUAGAUAUAACACUGGAAGAUUCUAGGCUACUUGAAAACAACAGAGAGUUAACAGGUGGAAAACAACCCAGUGCCCUUAGCAUUCAUUGGGGCAAGAUCAAAUUUAAUUUUGGGCUUUGCUGCCACAAAGAAGUACACAAAUAACAGAGUUCUUAUGAGAAGAGAAGAAGCUGGGAUAGUAAGGCAGGGCAGGGAAAUCUGGCCUUGCUGUUCCCACACAGAUGAAGGGAGAGCAGAGACGGAAAAUUCUACUCACUGCAUUAGUGGAAGUAGCUGUUCUGACUGCAUCAGUAGUGGUUUCUCUAGACACCUUAAUAUAUCCCUCAGCAGCAGCAGCUCUGAUUUUCCAGGGGUAAAAUACAGACAGAAUAAGGAUAAGUAACAUUAUUAUGGCCAUAUACAGAAGUCUUAUGUUCUAGGCAGCUACCAGGUUUGGUAAUACCUGAAAGGAGCCAAGACCCCGAUCAAUCUUCAACUGAAAGACCCACGGUAGCAUUCAUAUAAUUAGUUUUCCAGGAUUUGUUGUUGUUAUUGUUGUUGUUUUUAAAUCAACAAAACUUUCAUGGAACUUCCUCCUGGAACCCUUUCUGGCCAGUACUUCCAUUCCCUUUGUAAUAUAGGGUAGGGAUAAGUGGACACAAUUACCACUAGGACUUGAUAAUCCUGCCAACCCCAAAGCGGAAUUGUAAUAUACAGGAACAUUAUAUACCUGUGCCCAAGGUGUCAGAACCACAAAGGGACAUUAAGUAUCUGUAUUCAAGAAAUAAUUUGAAAACCAAUUUCUGAUAACUAGACUUCUAAAAUAGUUUAAGUUUGGCUACCUGUUUAUGCACACACACACACACACACACA
ensembl:lncRNA